rnacentral:sRNA from 1 species
UCAGUCGAUCAUUGCUGAGCAUCGUGAC